CAAUAGCGUAUAUUAAAGUUGUUGCGGUAAAAAAGCUCGUAGUUGGAUUUCUGUUGAGAGCGACCGGUCCAUACCAUGUAUGCGUAUCUGGCUUGCUCUCGGCAUCCUCUCGAUAGACGUUACUGCGCUUGAUUGCGUGGUGCGGAUCUCGGGACUUUUACUUUGAGGAAAUUAGAGUGUUCACGGCAGGCUUUCGCCAGAAUACAUUAGCAUGGAAUAAUACUAUAGGAUCUUGGUUCUAUUUUGUUGGUUUCUAGAAUUGAGAUAAUGAUUAAUAGGGACAAUUGGGGGCAUUCGUAUCAACACGUCAGAGGUGGAAUUCUUGGAUUGUGUUGCGACGAACUACUGCGAAAGCAUUUGCCAAGGAUGUUCUCAUUGA
rnacentral:rRNA from 1 species